UACGAAGGGGGCUAGCGUUGCUCGGAAUUACUGGGCGUAAAGGGCGUGUAGGCGGCCAACUAAGUCCGACGUGAAAUCCCCAGGCUUAACCUGGGAACUGCGUCGGAUACUGGAUGGCUUGAAUCCGGGAGAGGGAUGCGGAAUUCCAGGUGUAGCGGCGAAAUGCGUAGAUAUCUGGAGGAACACCGGUGGCGAAGGCGGCAUCCUGGGACCGGGCAUUGCGCCUGAG
rnacentral:rRNA from 1 species